CUUCACUUCAUUUCUCUUCCUCACUCGCUUCCUCGCCCGCUAUCUCUAGCCGUCGCGUGUUGUCUGCUUCUCCUGCUUGCGGAAGAACGUUACUUUGGUCAGAUCUGAAAUUGGAGCCACUAGUUUUUCCGUUGAGCCAUGGCUCUAGUUAUUCAUGCCGGGAAGACCAAUAAAAAUGCUUUCAAGACACUGAUUGCAGCAGAGUACUCUGGUGUGAAAGUUGAACUGGUUAAGAAUUUUGAGAUUGGUGCAAAUAACACUCCUGAAUUCCUCAAGAUGAAUCCUAUUGGGAAGGUUCCUGUGUUGGAGACACCAGAUGGGCCUGUAUUUGAGAGCAAUGCUAUGGCCCGUUAUGUUACCCGCUUGAAGGCUGACAAUCCUCUGUAUGGUUCAUCCCUGAUUGAUUAUGCCCGCAUUGAGCAGUGGAUUGAUUUUGCAUCAUUAGAGAUUGAUGCCAAUCUUUUGGCUUGGCUCAGACCUAGAAUGGGAUUUGCCCAAUAUCUUCCGCCGGCCGAGGAAGCUGCAAUUUCUGCAUUGAAAAGAGGUUUAGGCGCUUUGAAUACUUAUCUUGCCUCAAACACCUACUUGGUUGGGCAUGCUGUGACUUUGGCUGACAUUGUUACUACAUGCAAUCUCUAUCUGGGGUUUGCUCGCCUCAUGACUAAGAGCUUUACUUCAGAGUUUCCUCAUGUUGAGAGAUACUUCUGGACUAUGGUCAAUCAACCUAAUUUCAAAAAGAUAUUGGGUGAAGUCAAGCAGACUGAAUCGGUUCUUCCUAUCCAGUCAACAAAGAAGCCUGCCCCUCCCAAAGAAUCUGCUAAACCAAAACCUAAGGAUGAACCAAAGAAAGAAACCAAAAAGGAGAAAGAGCCGACAAAGCCCAAAGAAGCUGCUGAGGAAGAGGAAGAUGCUCCAAAGCCCAAACCCAAGAAUCCUCUUGAUUUGCUGCCUCCAAGUAAGAUGAUAUUGGAUGAGUGGAAGAGACUCUACUCAAACACCAAGAGCAACUUCCGUGAGGUUGCAAUUAAAGGAUUCUGGGACAUGUAUGAUCCUGAGGGAUACUCCCUGUGGUUCUGUGACUACAAGUACAAUGAGGAGAACAGUGUGUCAUUUGUUACUCUGAACAAGGUCAGUGGAUUUCUUCAACGGAUGGAUCUGGCUCGCAAGUAUGCAUUUGGAAAGAUGCUAGUGAUUGGCGAAAACCCUCCAUACAAGGUUAAGGGGCUGUGGCUUUUCCGAGGCCAAGAAAUUCCUCAAUUUGUCAUCGAUGAGUGCUAUGACAUGGAACUGUACGACUGGAAGAAGGUUGACCUCUCAGAUGAAGCCCAAAAGGAGCGAGUCAACCAGAUGAUUGAAGAUCAAGAGCCUUUCGAGGGAGAGCCUCUUUUGGAUGCCAAGUGCUUUAAGUGAAGUAACCGUUUAUCAUUUAACUUAUGUUUUAGCCUGCAUCCGUAAAUUUUUUUCAAAAUUUUUUUUGAUAGUGAUUUUGUAUCUCUUGUUUCAGACAAAUUUAAGUGUAGCUUUUUGUGAUUUUACAUGGUAUAACUAUGCUCUUGGGUGUCUAAUGUCCUCGUGAACGUACUUCUCAAUCGGUAUCUGGUGCAUUUUGAUUAUGAGAGUAAUUUUAUUAUUAACAGUGUCUCGUCAUGUUUGUAUGUUUUGUAAUGCAAGACAAAUGAGCAUCGGCUAAUUAUGAUGUCAAAAGCACCCUGGAGAAAAUUGACAAUUGUGU
rnacentral:misc_RNA from 1 species